rnacentral:rRNA from 1 species
AUUGAACGCUGGCGGCAGGCCUAACACAUGCAAGUCGAGCGGAUGAAGGGAGCUUGCUCCUGGAUUCAGCGGCGGACGGGUGAGUAAUGCCUAGGAAUCUGCCUGGUAGUGGGGGAUAACGUCCGGAAACGGGCGCUAAUACCGCAUACGUCCUGAGGGAGAAAGUGGGGGAGCUUCGGACCUCACGCUAUCAGAUGAGCCUAGGUCGGAUUAGCUAGUUGGUGGGGUAAAGGCCUACCAAGGCGACGAUCCGUAACUGGUCUGAGAGGAUGAUCAGUCACACUGGAACUGAGACACGGUCCAGACUCCUGCGGGAGGCAGCAGUGUGGAAUAUUGGACAAUGGGCGAAAGCCUGAUCCAGCCAUGCCGCGUGUGUGAAGAAGGUCUUCGGAUUGUAAAGCCCUUUAAGUUGGGAGGAAGGGCAGUAAGUUAAUACCUUGCUGUUUUGACGUUACCAACAGAAUAAGCACCGGCUAACUUCGUG